rnacentral:rRNA from 1 species
UACGGAGGGUGCAAGCGUUAUCCGGAUUCACUGGGUUUAAAGGGUGCGUAGGCGGGCAGGUAAGUCCGUGGUGAAAUCUCUGAGCUUAACUCAGAAACUGCCAUGGAUACUAUUUGUCUUGAAUAUUGUGGAGGUAAGCGGAAUAUGUCAUGUAGCGGUGAAAUGCUUAGAUAUGACAUAGAACGCCAAUUGCGAAGGCAGCUUACUACACAGUUAUUGACGCUGAGGCACGAAAGCGUGGGGAUCAAACAGG